CCACUUCUAUUUGUUGGGGACAAAUAAAGUGAAUAUGGGAGUCAAUUCCGCCUGCGGUGAGAAUCAUUCCUUCCCCGGCGAUCGCCUCGGUUCCUGGGCCAAUAAUAAUAUCGACGUUAUCUUGAAUAUAAGGAUUUCCGGCUUUGCCAAUUUUAAAAAUUUUGCCGUCUUUAAUGCCAAUAUCUGCUUUAACAAUUCCCCACCAAUCGAGAAUUAAAGCAUUGGUAAUUACUAAAUCCACAGCCCCAUCUGCACAGGAAAUCGGCGAUUGUCCCAUGCCAUCGCGA
rnacentral:sRNA from 1 species